rnacentral:rRNA from 1 species
GCAGCGACGCCGCGUGGGGGAUGACGGCCUUCGGGUUGUAAACCUCUUUCAGCAGGGACGAAGUUGACGUGUACCUGCAGAAGAAGCGCCGGCUAACUACGUGCCAGCAGCCGCGGUAAUACGUAGGGCGCAAGCGUUGUCCGGAAUUAUUGGGCGUAAAGAGCUCGUAGGUGGCUGGUCACGUCUGCCGUGAAAGCCCGCAGCUUAACUGCGGGUCUGCGGUGGAUACGGGCCGGCUAGAGGUAGGUAGGGGCAAGUGGAAUUCCUGGUGUAGCGGUGAAAUGCGCAGAUAUCAGGAGGAACACCGGUGGCGAAGGCGGCUUGCUGGGCCUUACCUGACGCUGAGGAGCGAAAGCGUGGGGAGCGAACAGGAUUAGAUACCCUGGUAGUCCACGCUGUAAACGUUGGGCGCUAGGUGUGGGGAUCUUCCACGAUCUCCGUGCCGGAGCUAACGCAUUAAGCGCCCCGCCUGGGGAGUACGGCCGCAAGGCUAAAACUCAAAGGAAUUGACGGGGGCCCGCACAAGCGGCGGAGCAUGUUGCUUAAUUCGACGCAACGCGAAGAACCUUACCAAGGUUUGACAUCACCCGGAAACGUGCAGAGAUGUGCGCCUCUUCGGACUGGG